GUAAACGAUUUAGGAACUUGAGGAGUUUGUAUUUUGUCAGACAAGGUUAGUCAUUAUUUAAGUUUAGAGGAACCAUAGAACGAAAUGCUUAGACUACAAAGCUGAUCGAGAUUUGGUAAUAUGAAAAAAACAUAUUAAAUAGUGAAUAAUUUCCAAACAACAAUUUCUAUACAGAGAUUUUGAUCUUCCUCACAAAGUUAUCUAGUUUCUAGUUGAGUGGAUAAGAACAUUAAUCAAAAUGAAAUAAAAACAGAUGCUAUACCUUGCUUUGCUAAAAAACACCUUUAAACAUUAUGCAGUAUUUGUAGUAUAUAUUUUAUCUGGUAUCUUGUAAAACAAGAUACGAAACCGGACAAAUUGUUUCAUGUACAUGAUUCAAACUAUUAACCCGUUUGAAGAAUGUGAAAGGAACGGUCUGAAAUGUGGCAUUUAUAAAUGACCUUAGUUUUGGGGAGUGAAGCAAGUUUCAGGAAUACUGUUUUCUUUACUCAUCACCGUCCAGCAUCUGGUUUCCAUCAGCAGAAAACACACAUGGCUGAGGCUGAUCACCACUGCUCACAGAGUAGAAAGACCAUCCUCCCCCAACCCCUCGGACACUGAUCUCUUGACCACAGAUAUGCAAAACCCAACAAAGCUCUUUUCAUCAAUUUCUGCCAGCAGGGAUCCCGGACCAACAUCCUCAAGACCCAACUCUGAAUGUUUUUCCUUUUUAAAACAAUUACACACAUGAAGGCAAAAUCAAGUGAGGUGUUUGGUGAUCGCUGGAGGUCGAGUUGUUGUCUUGUUAACCCUGGUUGUAAAUGAAGUAGUGGGAUCACUGGUGGUCUUCACAGUUGUCCCUGAAAAAGGGCUCAGAAUUGCAUUAGAGGCUGCGUCAAAGUCCACAUCUGCAGCUGAGAUAAGGACAGAUGAUCCAGACAGAAGCAGAACCAUGUGCAAACCCAGCACUGCCAUGGUGGUUCUGAACACUGAGAACACACUCAUUCAACACACACUCUGUGACCUGUUGAUGUCAAGACCCAUGAAAAUACUUUCACUGUCUUCCUGCCAUCGGUUUGAAAAAUAAAAGCUGGGGGCACAUGUGGGGUGUAAAGUGAAUUUGAGCAUCUCAAAUGUUUGUUUCAAUACUUAAUCAUUUUUACAGCAUCUAACCUCAAAUUGUUUUUUAGAUAAAUCAAUGUUAAAUAUCUAUCAAUGUUUCCCAAACAACAAAACAGUUACGUACUCAACUGACUUUAAAUGUGCAAGUGACUAACAAAGGCUUUUAUUUUGAAGAACAAAGGUGAACUCUCACCGGUUUGCCUAAAAUAAUUCAAUACAAAGUUACAUCAUUUUGGAUUUAUACAAUGAUAAAUACUUUUUACUAUGAGUUUGCAAAUCCAUUACUAAUACUCCAUAUAUUUAAAAAAAAAACCAUUAAACUUAAAAUGAUGGUAGAACAGUGACACCUGCUGUUUUUUAAGUGUAUGUAAUAUUAUAUCUUAAUUUAAGUGUAAUUUUUAUUUAACUAGAGCCCAUUACGGAAUUUUAAAGAAAGUGUUUUGCUAAAACCAGUUCAUGGACAGAUUAAAACAUUCCAGGCUGAGACAUGGAACUGAUUUUUUCUCUUGCACGAAUACCCACCAAUACACAUUCCUGGUGCUACAAUACCAGUAUUAUUCUAUUUUAUUCAAAAUUAUACUGAAACCUUAGUGGCCCACAGUUUAUCACUGCAAGUUACAGAGAAUUAUCAUCAACCUAUUUAUAUCAUAACCACGUUUAAGAAAAAAAAAAAAUACAAAAAAGCUAUUUAUCUACAAAAACAGGAAAAUCAAAACUUAAAUCUACAAUGAACAAUUCGCAGUCUGAAUGACUUUUUUAACCUAACUCAAUUCAAAGGACAUCUGUCUGGAUACAAACAGCAAACCAACAUAGAGACUUACACUGGGGCUCAGAGCCUGAGGUAAGAGGAUAUAUAUACUUAACAAAGGAUUUCCAGCAAUUAUACUUACCAAAGCUUUAGUCAAUUUGACAGCAAUGAGUGUCAAAGGUUGAGUCAAAGGUCGUGUAAGCUUUGCUGUAUAAAAUGCACUAAAGAAGUUGUGGCUGUUUUCACAGUGAGAAAAAAUAUUUUUUAAUUAAUGGAAUAACAAUACAUUUGAAGUGGAAUGAAAGCUACUUAUUUAGCUACAGAAACAGAACUGCUGGUAAUAACUGUCAACAUUUAGCUGAACUUUCUUUAUUUCUGCUUUACAAAAAUUAAAAAAACAACAACUGUACAUGUUUAUGUAUAACAGACACACACACACACGCGCGCACACAUGCAGCUAAAUGUAUUUAAGGUUGUGACUGAGUGAAGCGACAAGGCCUUUACAACUGCAUGAAAAGCAAAAAAAAAAAAAA